AACGCACAUUGCGCCCGCCAGAAUUCUGGCGGGCAUGCCUGUUCGAGCGUCAUUUCAACCCUCGAGCUCCCCUCUCUUUGGGAGAGCCCGGCGUUGGGGACCCGGCGCUAACACCGCCGGCCCCGAAAUGGAGUGGCGGCCCGUCCGCGGCGCCCUCUGCGUCGUAAUAUCCCCUCGCACCGGGACCCGGGCGCGGCCACGCCGUUAAACACCCCACCUUCCGAAUGUUGACCUAGAAUCAGGUAGGAAGACCCGCUGAACGGAA
rnacentral:misc_RNA from 1 species